CCCAAACUCUGCAGCCCUUCAAUCUUGGUCAACCGAUUGCUCUAGGGUAGUGAUAAAAAUGGAUUAACAUGACAGAACCAGACUUUUCAAGUUAUCCAAAUGUAGCAAGCCUAAGCAAGCAGGGAAGCUGUCCAUCUCUGCCUUGGAUGACAGAGGACUUUUAAUAAAUGUUCCAGUCUGACUUUGCCUGGAAAAGCCCCAAAUUAAACUUCACUGAAAAAGGA